rnacentral:lncRNA from 1 species
CGGCAUUUCAAUUUACAGAACCUGCCACAACAAAUUGGUGGGGUGGACUGUGGGGUGUUUUUGUUGAUUGUAAAUUGAGAUGAAAAAUAGUGGAUAAUAAGGCUAAUCUGUACCAAAUUACUUGGAGUUACAUGCAAACUCAAUAUAUUUUCUUUAUUACAGUACGCACUGCAUAUGGCCCACAAAGAACCAUUUAACUUUACAGCAGUAAGUUGCGGGAACCCAAAAAUAGCGUCUGAAACUAAAGUGUAGAAAGUGAAAAACCUGUUAUUUCAAAUAUUCAGCUAAACUGUGUUUGGGUUACUUAGCAUGACAUUCCACACAUUAGAAGAUGGUGGUGCCUAAUUCUUUGGGAGAACUUCUCACUCGGAACGACACUUCACACAUUCUGCUGCUGAUGCUUUGCAUGAUGACAUUGAUCCACCUGUCACUACAUGUAAGCAGGCAAGUUCCAUGUACACUAUGCGUCGUUAUUUAGAGUUACACUAUGUAAUCAUUAUUUAGAGUUGUAAACUAAAUAAUAUUUUAUUAAUUCUAUGUGAUUCCUGUGAUCUUUCAUUUCAGUUGCCAAUAUGUGUUGUUGACCUGGGGGAUGCUG